AUUGAACGCUGGCGGCAGGCCUAACACAUGCAAGUCGAACGAGUGGCGGACGGGUGCGUAAUGUCUGGGAAACUGCCCGCUGGAGGGGGAUAACUACUGGCAACGGUAGCUAAUACCGCAUACCAUCGUAUGUGCCCAGAUGGGAUUAGCUAGUAGGUGGGGUAACGGCUCACCUGGGCGACGAUCCCUAGCUGGUCUGAGAGGAUGACCGGCAACAUGGGAACGGGGACACGGUCCAGACUCUUAGGGGGGGCAGCAGUGGGGAAUAUUGGACAAGGGGGGCAAGCCGGAUGAAGAAAUGCCGCGUGUAUGAAGAAGGCCUUCGGGUUGUAAAGUACGUUCAGCGAGGAGGCGGUACUCGCAGAAGAAGCACCGGCUAACUACGUGCCAGCAGCCGCGGUAAUUC
rnacentral:rRNA from 1 species